rnacentral:RNase_P_RNA from 1 species
CUGGCAGGCUACCUUAUCGCUUUUUAAAGAGGAAAGUCCGGACACCAUAGAGCAUUACAGCGGGUAACACCCGUCGCUAUUUAUAGUAGGAAAAGUGCAACAGAAAGAAUGUACAGUUAGGCUGUAGUGAAAUCAUGUAAACUCUGUAAGGUGAAACGCCAAGUAUAUCAACUUUUAGGACUGCUCGUCCAAUGUUGAAGGGUAGGCGGUUAGAAUGUAAUAGUAAUAUUACAUCAAGAUAAAUGAUAAGGCACGACAGAAUCCGGCUUACAGGCCUGCCUUUUUU